rnacentral:rRNA from 1 species
GACGAACGCUGGCGGCGUGCUUAACACAUGCAAGUCGAACGGAAAGGCCCUGCUUUUGUGGGGUGCUCGAGUGGCGAACGGGUGAGUAACACGUGAGUAACCUGCCCUUGACUUUGGGAUAACUUCAGGAAACUGGGGCUAAUACCGGAUAGGAGCUCCUGCUGCAUGGUGGGGGUUGGAAAGUUUCGGCGGUUGGGGAUGGACUCGCGGCUUAUCAGCUUGUUGGUGGGGUAGUGGCUUACCAAGGCUUUGACGGGUAGCCGGCCUGAGAGGGUGACCGGCCACAUUGGGACUGAGAGACGGCCCAGACUCCUACGGGAGGCAGCAGUGGGGAAUAUUGCACAAUGGGCGGAAGCGUGAUGCAGCAACGCCGCGUGCGGGAUGACGGCCUUCGGGUUGUAAACCGCUUUCGCCUGUGACGAAGCGUGAGUGACGGUAAUGGGUAAAGAAGCACCGGCUAACUACGU